rnacentral:rRNA from 1 species
CUGGCGGCGUGCUUAACACAUGCAAGUCGAACGGUGAUGGAGGAGCUUGCUCUUCUUGAUCAGUGGCGAACGGGUGAGUAACACGUGAGUAACCUGCCCUUGACUCUGGGAUAACUCCGGGAAACCGGGGCUAAUACUGGAUACGAAGCGCCUCGGCAUCGGGUGCGCUUGGAAAGUUUUUCGGUCAAGGAUGGACUCGCGGCCUAUCAGCUUGUUGGCGGGGUAACGGCCCACCAAGGCGUCGACGGGUAGCCGGCCUGAGAGGGCGACCGGCCACACUGGGACUGAGACACGGCCCAGACUCCUACGGGAGGCAGCAGUGGGGAAUAUUGCACAAUGGGCGAAAGCCUGAUGCAGCGACGCCGCGUGAGGGAUGAAGGCCUUCGGGUUGUAAACCUCUUUCAGUAGGGAAGAAGCGAAAGUGACGGUACCUGCAGAAGAAGCGCCGGCUAACUACGUGCCAGCAGCCGCGGUAAUACGUAGGGCGCAAGCGUUGUCCGGAAUUAUUGGGCGUAAAGAGCUCGUAGGCGGUUUGUCGCGUCUGGUGUGAAAACUCAAGGCUCAACCUUGAGCUUGCAUCGGGUACGGGCAGACUAGAGUGCGGUAGGGGUGACUGGAAUUCCUGGUGUAGCGGUGGAAUGCGCAGAUAUCAGGAGGAACACCGAUGGCGAAGGCAGGUCACUGGGCCGCAACUGACGCUGAGGAGCGAAAGCAUGGGGAGCGAACAGGAUUAGAUACCCUGGUAGUCCAUGCCGUAAACGUUGGGCACUAGGUGUGGGGCUCAUUCCACGAGUUCCGUGCCGCAGCAAACGCAUUAAGUGCCCCGCCUGGGGAGUACGGCCGCAAGGCUAAAACUCAAAGGAAUUGACGGGGGCCCGCACAAGCGGCGGAGCAUGCGGAUUAAUUCGAUGCAACGCGAAGAACCUUACCAAGGCUUGACAUACACCGGAAUCGGCCAGAGAUG